rnacentral:rRNA from 1 species
GACGAACGCUGGCGGCGUGCUUAACACAUGCAAGUCGAACGGAAAGGCCCUGCUUUUGUGGGGUGCUCGAGUGGCGAACGGGUGAGUAACACGUGAGUAACCUGCCCUUGACUUUGGGAUAACUUCAGGAAACUGGGGCUAAUACCGGAUAGGAGCUCCUGCUGCAUGGUGGGGGUUGGAAAGUUUCGGCGGUUGGGGAUGGACUCGCGGCUUAUCAGCUUGUUGGUGGGGUAGUGGCUUACCAAGGCUUUGACGGGUAGCCGGCCUGAGAGGGUGACCGGAGACAGGGGGAAUGUGAGACGGCGGAGACGAAUACGGGAGGCAGCAGGGGGGAAGAGGGUGCAAGGGGCGGAAGUAGGACGAAGGGACGCCGCGGGAGGGAUGAGGGUAUUAGGGUUGGAAAAAGAUUGCGCGUGUGACGAAGCGAGAGGGACGGUAAUAGGAAAAGAAGCACCGGAGAACUAAGU